CAUGUAUAUGUAUAUAUAAAGAGGGUCCAACCUGUUCUAUGAAUUAUUUAGCGUUAGCCAAGUGGCCCUCCGUGUAUUUACCCUCAAACCAAGGGCUUCGUAGCAUUCGUGGAGCUCGCUUCAUUUCACCCCCGUGUCAGAUAUCUAUAACUAGCUUCAUUUCGCUCCAUUUUCAAUUCACUUGAAUCGAGAUCGGGUUCCAACUUAUUAUUCCAUGCUUGAAACAUUGACCGUUUCGACGUUUCGAGUGAUUUGUCUGAACUGUUUCGUUGGAAUAAUAGAUGGAGCGAAGAAAUCGUAAAGAAAAUUCGAGGGAAAUUUGUUCCUCGAAAAUAUCCGUCGAACGGAGAACUAUCUAGAAACCACUAUUCUCUCUCUCCCUCUCAUACUUUAAUAACGAGAAUAUCAAGCAUAAUGCGUAGAUUGCAAACUAUCGAGGAAUCUCGAGUGACGUCAACCCUUGACCUAUCGCUUCCCUCUAUAUCAAACGCCACAACUUGCCACGCUCUGUUGCCUCCGACAAAAUCAAUCUUCGAACCUCGGUUUUGAGUUAUACUCGUGUAAUGGACCGUGAAAGAGUGCUUCUCAAGUUUUUUUCUUCUUCUUCUUCUUCUUUUUUUUUUCCUCCUCUUUCAUAAUUUUUUCCACGCUCGUGGAAAGAUUCUUCUGGUUCACUUGGAUACGUUUAAACCGGAGGAAUCCAGAAGCGAAUCCCGUAAUCCCGUAAACGCCGAAUAAGAAGAAAAUUGGAUGUCACGAAAACGGUUGGCGGUUGAAAAAAAGAAACAGGUGGUUUCUGGAACGAAUCUAAGACGGUUCCGUUCAUCUUUUUUCGCGAUCGGCCACACCAACUGUGAAAUCGUGUUUAUCGCGCGUAACAGGAAGCGUACACGGAUUCACUCGAGCGAGUGGAGUCGCGGUUUCCGCGGUUUUGAUAUUUCCCUCGCGGCGAAUAAAUUGAAAUAGAACUAUCUUCGGUUACGAAUCGGAAUGAAUGUUUCGUAUCGUGGCUAUAGCGUAUAAUUAUUUGGCCGGAAUGAGAAUUCCCAGCGUUCUUAACGCGCAGAUAAACUAAUCAGGUGUCUAUAAACAUUCAACUCUCGUGGAUAAACUCUCGUGGCAAGUUACACACGUGUACACAACAAAGGAAAAUUGUAUCUGCGAUCUCGUAAUUUUAAUCUUCCCCGUUCAAAAUAUUUGCUAUUUAAUUGAAAAAUAAAGCGCGUAUCUUACGAUCUACAAUCUCGUUUGACAAAAAGGAAAAGCAUGUGAGAAAACUUUUCCACUUCUGCGACGAUGAAAUUACGAAAAUAUUAUUUUCCCUUAAAAAGAAACUAUAGUUUUACAAAUCGAGAACGAACAUUUUCAGAGUAAAAAUUUGUAUUAAUCCAACAACUUAACCCAUUUUAAACCCAAGGAAGUUUAAACCACCAUCGAAUUAAAUUAAUUACCCCUCGUUCCACGACAAGAUUAUAUCUUUCACGUCGAAGACAGAGGUGGCCAGUUGAUCCAUAAAAUUUUAUUAUAUUUUGCGAACCGUGGUUAACGUAAUUGUAAAAGAAAUUUGAGGUGUGGCGACACGAGACGGGCACGAGACACGUUUAUCAAGAGCGGCCCCCCUCCCCUUCUCGUUUCGGCAUAAUUUAUUCAGGAUGGCAGGAGGAGCCAUGCUCGGAUCGUGGUAGCAUCCGGCCUUUCUAAUGCAAUAUUGAUUCGAUUUCGCUGCCACGACGUGCUAGGUCGUAGCGCGCAAUUUGCAUAUGGAACUACACGGGCCGCGGGAACGGUCCGAUCACGGUGGAGGCGUCGUGACGCGGCGUGUCGCACUGUUUGCUAUUUGAUUGCAUGGAAAUUGCGUCGACUAGACGACCUACCUACGCACGAGCUUGAUUUCCUCGAUCCAUGCUUCGUUAGAACGCGACGCGCGCUAAUUCGUACUGCUAUCCGAUAUUUACGUGCAUUAUACCCUGCUUUGGAUGAGGAUGUAUCCAUCUUUUACACGGGGAAAUACUGUAUAUUCGAUUUUUUAUAUAUACGAUUCGAUGAUACUCGUGGAAUAACGUCGAAGAAUUGGCGAUCCUUUGGAAUUCGAUAUUUUCUAAUUAAUUUUUGAUUCGAUUUUCUCGAUCGAUUAUUAUUUUAUUUUCCAGGCCACGGGAUGAAGGCGAUGAAACGAAUUCGAAAGCUCUAAUCGAGGACGUUGAGAAUAUUCAUUUAUUUACGAGGCGGGCGGUGAAAAAUAAAUUUGUAAAAGUGUAUUUUAUAAUUAAAUUGAAAUUCGGGUUCAUUCACCUCCUCUGUUUAUUUUGUUUAUUUCCUUUGUUUAUUUGUUGUUUACGCGUUCAAUGUUUACUUGUUUACAUUUCCGGUUUAUUUACGUUCUUAACUCUCAGUUUGGUUGACGUUCAUCGUAAUCUAUACGAAACACAUCGGGCAGAAAGUACGGAUAAGCACGAGCCAGUUCCCAGAUUGAUUAAUUCGUUAGAUAAUAUUCGUAUUAUCGUUGGUUAACGUUUUAAUAAAACGGGGGGGGGGGAGGGAUGACGGCGUGAAAGAUUUUAUCAUUAAGGGGAAACUAAUGAAGUCUGCUGUAAUAAGAAGCUUGCUGCUCUCGCUUCCGCCUCUUCCGAAGGGAAAAGAAAAAAAGAAAAAGAGACGAGAAAACAAAUUUCUUUUAACGUUCACCUCACUUUACGAGAUUAUUCCCCUCUUUCUAUUAAUUUUCCCAACCGAUAAAGAAAUGGAAUAAUAAAUCGAAGGAAACGUGAAAGAAAGACAAUUAUCGUCCACCCGCUCCUAAUAUCGCGAAUUGCUAUUAAAAAACUUUGUUAUUUCCAAUAAAAGAAAUCGACCGCGGAGGAGGAGGGAGAGAAAGAGAGAGAAAAAGUUCUAUAGGCAUCGCCACGGUCGAAACUAUCGUCGAAUUUUCCGCCAGUGGAGCGAGCCAAUUAAUAUGCAGACGCGAAACUCGAAGGAACUCACAGACGACUGCAUAAAAUUUGCAUCCACACGGCGAAUCUACAACCAGCUAUCGAGACUGCAAGCUAAAGUAAACGCGAGCACGGAUGACACAAACAUCUCAACUCUGCCCGAAUUCUUCUUCUUCUUCCUCUUCUCUGAUUAAAUCGCCAAUUUCAAAUCUUAUCCCAAUUCCUUGAAAUCUCGUCAAAAGUCGAUCGUUGCAAAAUUAUCAAGGACCAAACUUGUCUGCGGAGGAAGAAGAUCGAAGGUUUCGGCCGUCAUCACGUCACGGCAACGAUAAAUUACCCAUGAACGAGCGGUGUGAUUGCUAUUAGCAAGGUGCUACGGCUAGGUUCGCAAUUAUGGUCGGUGGUUAGUUACCGUUAGAACCGCAAAUAAUUGGACGAAUUUGCGGAUCAGCGGAGCGGAUGCCUUGCGAGGGCAUUAAAUUGGGGGAGGGGGAGGGGAGCCCGGGAUGCCGGAUUCCAUCAUCCCGAAUACUUUGCAUCGGGGACGUCGUUACAAUAUUAAUUCAUCCCCUCUUGGAUCGCGUCUUGGAACAAUUUACUUGCGCUCGAUGCAUUGGCCCGCGAUCAGCAUGUAACCGCGCCGCCAAUUAUCGUUUCGAAAAUCCACGUUCAUUCACGUUAAUUGGGCUAUUAUGUAUCCUUCCGUUUAACGCGUGUCUACUUGUCGUAAAAAGACGAAGGAGGAAAUAAGAAACGAAAGAAAAGUUUCGGGAAUUUAGAAGUUAGAACGCUGAAAGAAUUCUACGAAGAUCGAUCGAAGAGAAAGUGAAACCGUGAAAGGAGGAAAAUAUGAUGAAACAAAUGCGAAACAGUCCUACCCUAGAGUUUCUAAAACAAGCAAGUUUGAAAAGAGUGAGUUGAGGAAAAAAAGACUGUGUUCUGUCGCGCACAAUUGGAGUUCUCUUCUUUCCAACUCUUUCUAUUUUAAAAUAGAAUAAAAUUAAAAUAAUUCGUGCUGAUAAUUUUAUCACGAAACGAUUUGAAGAGAUUGGAAAUUGAUUAGGAAUCACCGAUAUCAGAAUCUCUUCCAAGAAUUGCAUUUUAGAUUUAAAAUAAAAUAAAAUUAAAAUAAUUCCUGCUGAUAAAUUUUAUCACGGAAUGACUUGAAGAGGUUGGAAAUUGAUCAGGAAUCACAAUAAAAGAAUAGAUAGAGGGAGAGAUUUGUCGCGAUAACUGUUCGUCAUUCGCGUGCUUUUUAUCGUGCUCUUUACAUAAAUGUCGCACCGUGGCAACGAUUCGAGACGAUAAAUCUCAUUUUCGCGCGCGGUAUCGCGAUUGUUCGAAGAUCCGCGCAUAUUUUGCCGGCGGACGUCACGGGGAAGGAAAAAUAAUGGUCAUAAAUCUCGACGGGAGCGGAACAGGCUCGUACAUAGCACAAUACCCUUGGAUUUUUAAUGGAGCAUUUAUCCAAAGUGGAAGAAAUAUGGUGGAGUAAAGCUUAAAUAAUCGAACGAGAGAUAUCAAAGAGGAUUUGUAUCGAACGUAUUACAUCGUUUAAAGCCGAUUCCGAUACCAAAGAAUAUAUGUUUUCGCCUUGUAAAAUAACGUUUAACACGUACAACUGAAUAAAGAGAAUUGACUUUACCCCAUA